rnacentral:rRNA from 1 species
AUUGAACGCUGGCGGCAGGCCUAACACAUGCAAGUCGAACGGUAACAGGAAGAAGCUUGCUUCUUUGCUGACGAGUGGCGGACGGGUGAGUAAUGUCUUGGAAACUGCCUGAUGGAGGGGGAUAACUACUGGAAACGGUAGCUAAUACCGCAUAACGUCGCAAGACCAAAGAGGGGGACCUUCGGGCCUCUUGCCAUCGGAUGUGCCCAGAUGGGAUUAGCUAGUAGGUGGGGUAACGGCUCACCUAGGCGACGAUCCCUAGCUGGUCUGAGAGGAUGACCAGCCACACUGGAAGUGAGACACGGUCCAGACUCCUACGGGAGGCAGCAGUGGGGAAUAUUGCACAAUGGGCGCAAGCCUGAUGCAGCCAUGCCGCGUGUAUGAAGAAGGCCUUCGGGUUGUAAAGUACUUUCAGCGGGGAGGAAGGGAGUAAAGUUAAUACCUUUGCUCAUUGACGUUACCCGCAGAAGAAGCACCGGCUAACUCCGUG